CCCUUAGAUGUUCUGGGCUGCACGCGUGCUACAAUGAUACAUACAUACAGUAAUCCUAUACAGACAUGUAGUGGUAAUCUUUAAUAUGUAUCGUACUAGGGAUAGACUAUUGUAAUUAUUGGUCUUGAACCAGGAAUUCCUAGUAAGCGUAAGUCACCAACUUACGCUGAUUACGUCCCUGCCCUUUGUACACACCGCCCGUCGCUUCUACCGAUUGAGUGUUCCGGUGAAUUAUUCUGAUCACUUCAUGUGAAAAGUUUUGUAAACCUUAACACUUAGAGGAAGGAGAAGUCGUANCA
rnacentral:rRNA from 1 species